rnacentral:rRNA from 1 species
GACGAACGCUGGCGGCGUGCUUAACACAUGCAAGUCGAACGGACAGGCCCUGCUUUUGUGGGGUGCUCGAGUGGCGAACGGGUGAGUAACACGUGAGUAACCUGCCCUUGACUUUGGGAUAACUUCAGAAACUGGGGCUAAUACCGUGUAGGAGCUCCUGCUGCCUGGUGGGGGUUGGAAAGUUUCGGCGGUUGGGGAUGGAAUCGCGGCUUAUCAGCUUGUUGGUGGGGUAGUGGCUUACCAAGGCUUUGACGGGUAGCCGGCCUGAGAGGGUGCCCGGCCCCAUUGGGACUGAGAUGAGGCACAGACUCCUCUGGGAGGCAGCAGUGGAGAAUAUUGCACAAUGGGCGGAAGCCUGAUGCAGCAACGCCGCGUGCGGGAUGACGGCCUGCGGGUUGUAAUCCGCUUUCGCCUGUGCCGAAGCGUGAGUGACGGUAAUGGGUAAAGAAGCACCGGCUAACUACGUG